GACGAACGCUGGCGGCAUGCCUAAUACAUGCAAGUCGAGCGAACAGAUGGAGUGCUUGCACUUCUGACGUUAGCGGCGAACGGGUGAGUAACACGCAAGGAAUCUACCUAUAAGCGGGGGAUAACAUUCGGAAACGGGUGCUAAUACCGCAUAAUAUCUUCUUCCGCAUGGAAGAAGAUUGAAAGACGGCUCUGCUGUCACUUAUAGAUGACCUUGCGGUGGAUUAGUUAGUUGGUGGGGUCACGGCCUACCAAGACGAUGAUGCAUAGCCGACCUGAGAGGGUGAUCGGCCACAUUGGGACUGCGACACGGCCCAAACGCUUACGGGAGACAGCAGUAGGGAAUCUUCCGCAAUGGGCGAAAGCCUGACGGAGCAAUGCCGCGUGAGUGAAGAAGGCCUUCGGGUCGUAAAACUCUGUUAUAAGAGAAGAACAAAUUGUAGAGUAACUGCUACAGUCUUGACGGUAUCUUAUCAGAAAGCCACGGCUAACUACGUGCCAGCCGCCGCGGUAA
rnacentral:rRNA from 1 species